AACAACUUGAAGUUUCUUUAUUUAGACCUUAACCACUUCAACAACAGCAUCUUUUCAUCUCUAGGUGGUCUUUCAUCACUCAGAAACUUAUCAUUGGCUGCUAAUCGAUUGAAUGGAAGUGUUGAUAUUAAAGGUAAGUAAGCUUCAUCCCUUCUCCCCUGUCCCAUCUUUUGUGGAUCUUAUUUCACUGAGCAGCUGGAAGUAUUGAUACGAGAUCUAGCUAGACUCUUGCGAGUUUAGGCUUCACGGCUUUGAAUAGUAUAAAAAUAAGUUGAAGAAAUUAUCAAUAUAUUGCAAUUUUCAAUGCUUCUCAUAAUCAGACACAAUUCAAUCUAAUUAUUUCGUAUGUCCUGUCUUCAAAAGUAAAGAAUUGUACACUAAUUGGAAAUCGACAUCGUAGCUUUUUAUUUUCUGUAAUGCUAUUUCUUCGUUAACAAGUUUAUAUCCUAAGAGGGAUUGGAUUGAAAAAAAAAAAAGAAGUUUUGAUGUUCAAUGUAAGCCAUGAUAACCUGCAUCUUAUUUGUCUGCCGACAUCCAAAUUUGUGCACUGAAUUUAGUAUUUUGGUUAUUGUGAAGGGAUCAGAUAUUGGCUUCCAUAGACCAACUUGUAUUUACUUAAUUAAUUAAUUAACGACAUUUAGUAUUUAACAAAUUAAAAUUUCAUGUUUAAUCUAUUUUAAUUUUUUAAGAAAAAAGAAAUAGAUAUAGCAGCAGGUAAAGCUGAAAUAAAUUUUAAUUCCUUACAAAUUUAAAUUCAUGGUUGUCAGCUAAAUAUAACUGCUUAAAGCCACUCUUUUCGCUGAGAUUUAACCAAAAAAAAAGGAGAAAAUAAUUUAUUUAAUUAACUCUGUUUUAAGUGUUGGAAUAAAUACAGGACUAGAAUCCUUGAGUAACUUGGAGAUGCUGGACAUGAGGGACAAUGCAAUCGACAAUCUAGUGGUUCCUAAAGGUAUACAAAAUGACACUAACCCAAAAUAAUUUAAUCCGAAAUUGUAUCCCAAAUAGAUUACAGAGGUUUGAGGAAGUUGGAUACCCUUUAUUUGGGGGGGAAGGGAAAUUGCAGUGAUAUAUGGAAGCAAGGUGUUGCAAUCAAUAAAGAAAUUCGUUGGUCAAUAUUCAAGGACUCAUCCAAAGUAAUCGUUAAACAUUUCUUCAAUGAUGAUCAACGUCUCAAAACUAGGUAGACGCGGGAGAUGAUGAGAAUAAUUUAGAUUGUUGUCAGUGGGAAGGGAUUGAGUGCAACAAAACCACAGGCAGAGUGAUUAAAUUAGAAUCUAGCACAAACUCGAAAAUGGGAAUCAGCGAAGUGGUAUAUGAAUGCCUCUCUGUUUACUCCCUUUCAACAAUUAGAGUCUCUUGAUCUAAUUGGGAACAAUAUAGCUGAUUGUGUUAAAAACGAAGGUCAUUAAUUUACUCUAUUUUAAUUCUUCCUCCUCGUAAUUUCUUACAUCUAUCUGAUCCCUUUCGGCUUUUGUUUAAUUUGUACGUGAUACAAUAAAAUUAUUUUUUUUUCAGGUCUGGAGAGGUUAUCAAGGUUGAACAACUUGAAGUUUCUUGAUUUAGGCUUUAACCACUUCAACAACAGCAUCUUUUCAUCUCUAGGUGGUCUUUCAUCACUUAGACACUUAUCAUUGGCUGAUAAUAGAUUGAAUGGAAGUAUUGAUGUUAAAGAUAAGCAAGCUUCAUCCCUUCUCUCGUGUCCCAUCUUUGUGGAUCUUAUUUCAUCGACCAGCUGGAAGUAUUGAUACGAGAUCUAGCUAGACUCUUGCUAGUUUAAGCUUCAAGGCUUUGAAUAUUAUAAAAAUAAGUUUAAGGAAUUAUCAAUAUAUGCAAUUUUCUAUGCUUCUCAUAAUCAGACACAAUUCAAUCUAAUUAUUUCGUAUGUCAUGUCUUCAAAAGUAAAGAAUUGUACACUAAACGGAA
rnacentral:lncRNA from 1 species